UACAGAGGUCUCAAGCGUUGUUCGGAUUCAUUGGGCGUAAAGGGUGCGUAGGCGGCGCGGUAAGUCGGGUGUGAAAUCUCGGGGCUUAACUCCGAAACUGCAUUCGAUACUGCCGUGCUUGAGGACUGGAGAGGAGACGUGGACUUUACGGUGUAGCGGUGAAAUGCGUAGAUAUCGUAAGGAAGACCAGUGGCGAAGGCGGGUCUCCUGGACAG
rnacentral:rRNA from 1 species